rnacentral:lncRNA from 1 species
AAAAGCGGCUCCCGUGCUCUUUCUCUCGCUCGGCUCUUCCUCCGCUCAGGGCAUGUGGCGUAGAGCUUCCUGGGUGACUCGGAUGCAGCUUGAACGAGGGGCGAGGAUCGGGCCGGAUCGGCAACGCUCUGGCCGCCGCCGCCGCCCCCAACCGAGAUCACGGACAGGCGAUCUGGAGAGAAACCUUUUCCCUGCCAGGUGCCACCAAGAGAGUCCGCCCCUUCCAUUCAGAUGCCAGAAGUGGAAGGAGCAUUUCCCAAGACCGCAGGGCCUCCCACCUGAAAGGCCCCCGGUGGGCUAUCAUGCAGGAAAAUUAUGAGACAUUAAUCUCUCUGGCAGAAGAGAUGGCCAUCAGCUUGCCUCGGAUUACUGCACUGGCUGAGUCUCACCGGAGGGGGUUGACAUCAGGCAAGUCACAUGCAAGACUGAACUGCAUUCCAAAAUACAGGCGUAUGAGACAUUCCGUAGCUUUUCCACUGAAUUGAAGCAAUCUGCCUUCAGAAGAAAAAUUGUGUAAACUGAGCAUCAGGUUAUGCAGACUGAACACUUAGGGGUGUUUUAUUCUUCCAAGUGUUCCAAGCAGGAACAGAAGUAGAACAGGAUGAUGAGGCACACUCUGCUUUUUAAGUUGUUCCACAAAUCAUGCUGAACUUUGUUUUUGUUUACUGUACGCCUGCAAU